CCCACAGACACAUUCCCCAAAUAAGCGACUGCUCGGGUAACGCAUGUCACGGUUUAUUCACUUUGGCCACUCGAACAGACUUUGUCCAUAUUUCCUUAGUGCACCUUUUUUUUUUUUUUUUUGAUUUGAAACCAUCAGUGCACUAAAAUAAAAGAAUUAGAUCAAAUACGCCAUAGUUAAACAGAUUUGAAAUUUGUUUUAGAUGUUAGACUAACACCACCAUUUAAUAGGUGGCCUUCGUGUGGCCUAUGGAAGCCAACAGUUUCUAAGGAAUAAAGAGCAGAAAACCAAACAUGAAUUUGGGGGCAUUUUAGAAAAACAAAUCAUAAAAAGCUUCUUUAAAAGCAUCUUUGUGUUUUUAAACUUUUCAAACUUCCAAAAUGUGAUUUUGAACAUUAUGCAAAUAUUUUAGAGACAGAAUAAUAUAUACUUUUUAAUAUUAUCCAUUUCUCUAAUGAACGAUCAGGAAAACAGAAGUGACAGGUGACUUCAGUUUCACAGGCAAAUAUAUAUGGGGUACACAUUCAUAUGUCUAUUUUCUGAUUACAUCUUACUCCAGGUAAUGAGGGUGCUUGGUCCAAAUGGGGCUUGUCAGGAGCAGAAUUGCCAGACAGCAUGAGUGAAGUGGGAUGCUGAGCUCUGCAACACUUUACUGGGGGAGAGAAUGAGAAUCAGGUGCAACCAAAAGACAAUCCUCAAUCGGCUUGCUCUUCACAACUCAGGAGGAUGAGUAAAAUGUGUUCACCCCGAGAGUUACUUCUAGAGAACUUCAGGGAGAAAAUCUGGAGCCCCUGAUCCGCAUAAAGUGCCAGGUGACGUGGGCACAGAAUUGAGCUGUCUGAAUUGGAGGCAUGAGGAAGCAAUUUCGCCUUUGCUGCAUUCGCCCCAGGAGCCCAUGUCCUUAGGGUUUAUAAACACCGGCAGCUGGGGAUCUGUUUACAGAUGUGGAUUAUGAGAAGAACACACACGCAUCAAGGUUUUUGCACACGUUAAACGUCCACCGGGGGGAGGAUCGUCCUACAACACAUAGUGAAGAUCAAUUCUGCCGCGUCUGGAGGGCCCCCACCUCGACGAGGCGCUGCCCUGACGGGGAAGCAUCGAUUACGGGAAAACAACUGCCCGGUGGAAGAGUUUCCAUGGUUCUAAGAGAGCUGCACCUGCCCUCGGACCCUAAUCCCCCACGAGAACAAAAAGCAAGGCCUGGGACUGAAUAGACGUGACUUCGUUAAAGAAGAUGUGAAAAUACACUUCGCUGUAGCUUACAUUCGUGCUCCAGUACGUAACAUGUGGAAUGGAACCAAAAGCCUCCAACAGUUCCUCAUUUGUCACAGCCAACUCUCUUCAUCCAGCUCUUAAACUUCCUCCCACUGGGACUUCAUAUUUAUAAUCGUCCUGCCUUCUUCUGUCUCUGGACUCAGGAGGUUGGAAGCUGAAGAGGGAGUCAGAAAUGAUGCGAACUCACUGCCCAGAAAUUUCAGUUUUAUGCCAAUAGGCUACCUAUCCCCAAGGUUUCAAAAGUUGAGGAGAGAGUUCCAGUCCAAGACGGCAACGUGAGAAGACACUGAACUCACCUCCUCCACGGACACACCAAAUCUACACCUAUUUAUAGAGCAAUUCCUCCUGAAGAACUGAGGGCUGACUGAGCAGCUUCUGCACAACUAAAGAUAGAAGAGCAAGAAAAAUAAAGACGUGCUAACGAAGGGCCCUGUAGGAACUGCUGUGGGAGGGAUAGUUCUGAGGGACCGUGAGCAGCUUUGUCUGCCUUGGGGCACAGACAAAAACCAUGGUUUAAAAGGGCAACUAGAAUAGAAAAGAUCCAGCCUUAGAACUCCACCAAUGGUGGGAGAGCUACUGGAACUCUCUCUGCUGGGAAGAGCAGGCAAGGGCCUUGAUUCACCGUUCCCCUCCACCUGGAUAGUGUACAGGGGAGCAGGUCCCUGGUCCUCCGGGCGUCAGAGCUGGCCUGCCUCCUCAGUGCAUGUUAGUUUUAGAGCUUCUCUCUUCAGAAAGAUAAAUAAACUUUAAAUAUAAACAGGGACACCUGGGUGGCUCAGUUGGUUAAGCAUCUGCCUUUGGCUCAGGUCAUGGUCCCAGGGUCCUGGGAUCGAGUCCUGCAUUGGGCUCUCUGCUCCGCGGGGAGUCUGCUUCUCCCUCUCUCUCUGCCACUCCCCCUGCUUGUGCUUUCUCUCUCUGACAAGUAAAUAAAUAAAAUCUUUAAAAAAAUUAUAUAUAUACUUAUAUAUAUGUAUAAACAAUAUAUGUGAAGCUUUUCUAUUCUAUUAA